rnacentral:rRNA from 1 species
CGAGAAGCGAACCUGCGAAGGCAAGCGGAUCUCUUAAAGCCGUUCUCAGUUCGGACUGUAGGCUGCAACUCGCCUACACGAAGCUGGAAUCGCCAGUAAUCGCGGAUCAGCACGCCGCGGUGAAUACGUUCCCGGGCCUUGUACACACCGCCCGUCACACCAUGAGAGUCUGUAACACCCAAAGCCGGUGGGAUAACCUUUAUAGGAGUCAGCCGUCUAAGGUAGGACAGAUGAUUAGGGUGAAGUCGUAACAAGGUACC